GCUAUAUGAAAAUACACAUCCUGAAUGUCAAGGGCCACAAACCAGUCCCCUGAUAUGACAUCGUAUUAUUGUUGCUAGGGUUACCAUUCUGAACCUCUGUCAUAGAAUGAAUGUGUUCAGAGUCCUGAGGUCCACGGUUGGUCUCCAUCCUCCUUUCCUCUUGGGUACCAAGAAGUACCUGGAGUAGAACCUUUUCCUGAUGAAAGAUGGGGAACUAGUCUGAUCACCUCCAACAGGAGGGAUUGUAAUUCCUGCAUUAGGAGUCCCUUGUGAGAAGGGUCCCUGAAAAGGGAAAAGAAGGGGAGUGGAGGAGGAUGGAUCUGAAGAGAUGACCCUCAGCAGAAGAGGAAAACAGAAAAAAGGCAUAAAGGUCCUUGUCCCAAGCAAGAAGAGGAGCAUUGUCCAGAGAGUGCUGUCCCAUCCCCAGCCUGGAGCAGUAGCAUGGACAUUUCUUGAACAAGUUGUGCAGGAAUCUGCGACUGAGUUUACUAUAGAGUUUUGCACGUCCAAAAGGUUAGCCGCGAACAAAGUGACGUGAGAAAUGCA